UAAAAAAUUGAGAAAACAUUGUAAUGAUUUGAAAAUUAUGUAUAAAUAGUUGGAUGAUACAAAAUUUGAUGAAUGACCUAAAUGAUGGGAAGCGGAUAUCAAUAAUUUAGCAUACAAUGUACUUAAGAGAUAUAAACUUCACUGUAGAAAAAAAAAGAGACUUACAAAGUUACAAUCAUUAGAGCUCAUAUACUUAUAAACGGAGUCUUCUUCUUCUUCACCCUGUAGCUACUUGAAGAUUAGUUAUCAAACUUCAUUGCUCCAUUGCAAUAACUAGAUUAAUCACAAGAAAGAAAAAACAUCUGUUGAAAUUUUAAUAUCUUA
rnacentral:sRNA from 1 species